rnacentral:rRNA from 1 species
AGUGAACGCUGGCGGUAGGCCUAACACAUGCAAGUCGAACGGCAGCACAGUAAGAGCUUGCUCUUACGGGUGGCGAGUGGCGGACGGGUGAGGAAUACAUCGGAAUCUACUUUUUCGUGGGGGAUAACGUAGGGAAACUUACGCUAAUACCGCAUACGACCUACGGGUGAAAGCAGGGGAUCUUCGGACCUUGCGCGAUUGAAUGAGCCGAUGUCGGAUUAGCUAGUUGGCGGGGUAAAGGCACACCAAGGCGACGAUCCGUAGCUGGUCUGAGAGGAUGAUCAGCCACACUGGAACUGAGACACGGUCCAGACUCCUACGGGAGGCAGCAGUGGGGAAUAUUGGACAAUGGGCGCAAGCCUGAUCCAGCCAUGCCGCGUGGGUGAAGAAGGCCUUCGGGUUGUAAAGCCCUUUUGUUGGGAAAGAAAAGCAGCAGGUUAAUACCCCGCUGUUCUGACGGUACCCAAAGAAUAAGCACCGGCUAACUUCGUG